ACUCAAAUGAAUUGACGGGGGCCCGCACAAGCAGUGGAGUAUGUGGUUUAAUUCGAAGCAACGCGAAGAACCUUACCAAGGCUUGACAUAAUAGUGAAUAUGUCAGAGAUGACAUAGCCUUUCGGGGCACUAUUACAGGUGGUGCAUGGUUGUCGUCAGCUCGUGUCGUGAGAUGUUGGGUUAAGUCCCGCAACGAGCGCAACCCCUGUUGUUAGUUGAUAACAUUAAGAUGAUCACUCUAACGAGACUGCCGGUGAUAAAUCGGAGGAAGGUGGGGACGACGUCAAAUCAUCAUGCCCCUUAUGUCUUGGGCUACACACGUACUACAAUGGCUAUUACAAUGAGAAGCUAAGCUGCAAAGUGGAGCAAAUCUAUAAAAAUAGUCUCAGUUCAGAUUGUGGGCUGCAACCCGCCCACAUGAAGUCGGAAUUGCUAGUAAUGGCAGGUCAGCAUACUGCCGUGAAUACGUUCCCGGGCCUUGUACACACCGCCCGU
rnacentral:rRNA from 1 species